rnacentral:rRNA from 1 species
GACUAUGAUCAAAUCACCUUUACAUGUGGCCGAUUCCAUCAGCUCUGAGAAGCUAAGCAGGGUUGAGCCUGGAUAGCGAUUGGAUGGGUGACCACCGUGAACAACAGGUUUAUAGUAU